GAUGAACGCUGGCGGCGUGCCUAAUACAUGCAAGUCGAACGGGGUGUUUGAGCAAUCGGACACUUAGUGGCGAACGGGUGAGUAACGCGUUGGUGACCUGCCCCAAAGCGGGGGAUAACAGCCUGAAAGGGUUGCUAAUACCGCAUAUGAUGAUGAGAGACUAGAAACUUAUCAUUAAAGGAGAAAUCCACUUUGGGAGGGGCCUGCGUCCCAUCAGCUAGUUGGUAGGGUAAAAGCCUACCAAGGCGAAGACGGGUAGGGGACCUGAGAGGGUGACCCCCCACAAUGGAACUGAAACACGGUCCAUACACCUACGGGUGGCAGCAGUAGGGGAUAUUGCACAAUGGGCGGAAGCCUGAUGCAGCAACGCCGCGUGAGUGAUGAAGGCCCUCGGGUCGUAAAACUCUUUUCAAGAGGAAGAGGAAGGACGGUACUCUUGGAAUAAGCCUCGGCUAACUACGUG
rnacentral:rRNA from 1 species